rnacentral:tRNA from 2 species
CAAGACGUAGCUAUAACACAAAGCAUUCAGCUUACACCUGAAAGAUGCCUACCACCCGGGCCGUCUUGA